rnacentral:rRNA from 1 species
UGCGUAGGUGACAAGCGUUGUCCGGAUUUACUGGGCGUAAAGAGCGCGCAGGCGGUCGUUCAAGUCGAGUGUGAAAGCCCCCGGCUCAACUGGGGAGGGUCAUUCGAUACUGAUCGACUCGAAGGCAGGAGAGGGAAGUGGAAUUCCCGGUGUAGUGGUGAAAUGCGUAGAUAUCGGGAGGAACACCAGUGGCGAAGGCGACUUCCUGGCCUGUUCUUGACGCUGAGGCGCGAAAGCGUGGGGAGCGAACAGG